UUCCUUGUCGGGUAAGUUCCGACCUGCACGAAUGGCGUAACGACUUCCCCACUGUCUCCAACAGAGACUCAGCGAAAUUGAAUUCUCCGUGAAGAUGCGGAGUUCCCGCGGUCAGACGGAAAGACCCCGUGCACCUUUACUACAACUUCGCAGUGGCGUUAGUGGCGAUAUGUGUAGGAUAGGCGGGAGGCUUUGAAACCGGAGCGCCAGUUCCGGUGGAGCCAUCCUUGAAAUACCGCCCUUAUCCUCAUUGACGUCUAACCGCGGUCCAUGAACCUGGAUCCGGGACCCUGCGUGGUGGGUAGUUUGACUGGGGCGGUCGCCUCCUAAAGGGUAACGGAGGCGCCCAAAGG
rnacentral:rRNA from 1 species